AGGAGACAUAAUCUUUCUUUCUCUUUCCAUCUUGUACGGAUAUGACAAGAAAAUGGCUAUGUGACCCAGGAGGAUAGCCUUCACGAAGAACCUCACCAUGCUGGUACCUUGAUCUUGGAUUUCCAGCCUCCAGACUGUGCAUCAUGCACGAUAGAACUGCUGUACCCCAAAGCAAGCCAUAAAAUCUAGGAAGACUAUCUGACCCUCUCUUCUCCUCCCUGAAGACCCUUACAUGACAAGUGUCAUGCCCUAUGCCCAGAGGAAGAAAUGCUACACAGAGAGGCCAAGAAAAAUCUGAACACACAGGACUUGUUGGAAUUCCCCUCAAGUUAUUAUCAUUACAUCAUGCCUUUUUUGUCCAGUCAUAUUUCUACACAGCUGUCCAUUCUUCAUCGAACCUAAGCUUAAGAAUAUGCACUUCUCCCUGGGUCUCUGGGUCUUCAUUUCUGAGCGCUCCCAUGUGAUGUA
rnacentral:lncRNA from 1 species